rnacentral:rRNA from 1 species
AGAGGGUGAAACUCCCGUCCGCCUGGUAGAAUGAGUCUUUGUCAACGAGUCGAGUUGUUUGGGAUUGCAGCUCUAAUUUGGUGGUAAAUUCCAUCUAAAGCUAAAUAUUGGUGGGAGACCGAUAGCGUACAAGUACCAUGAGGGAAAGAUGCAAAGAACUUUGAAAAGAGAGUUAAAGAGUACCUGAGAUUGCUGAAACGGAAGCGAAGGAAGCCAGUGUUUGUUGGUUCAUAUUUCCUUGGCCACUUGUGGUUUGGGCGCUGUGAGCUUGCGUGGGUUUGGGUUGGUUGAUCCCUUUGGAGGAGCGCAGUCAGAGUUGAUGUCU